UCGGAUCCACGCAGGAUCAAUUUCUUCAGUGAUGCUCAAUCACUUUGGGUUUGUGGGGGUUUGGUUUUGGGAUUUUCCUCACUUGAUGAUUUUCGCUCAAAGUCCUCGGAGGAUGGGUUGCUCUCAAAUGACAAGUGUCAAGUUCUCUCGGAGCAGCCAACCAACUAGUGGUUGUAGGGGGCGGCUAUUUAUAGCCUAGGGAGCAGCCCGACAUGAUAAGACAUAAAUGCCCUUCAAUGAUAUGACCGUUAGGUGGAUAAGAUAUUUUGGGACAGCCGGCGCGCAGCACAGCAACGGUCGGAAAUUUGACUCUCAAAUUCCUCAGGGCUAUCAUGUUCCUCACUGUGUAGGCAAUUCGCACUGGCGAAUUCCUAACUCCUCAGUCAGAGCAAAGUCCUCAGUGAACAGAAGAACUGCGUCUCUGUCACUGAUGAAUUUGACUGAACUGUAUGAGAUUUCCAAUGGCUUCACUCGAAGGGAUUGGUAGGUGUAGGGUUUUGAGUUGAGCAUCACAUGGAAAUUUUUCCUUAGUAUUUCCUCGACCCCCUUUAACAGUACGGUGUUUCCUAUGACUCAAGAAAGAGAAAAUGAAACUACGAAAACAAAAGUCUUCACGCUUCAUAUUCCUCGAAUGAUUAUCAAGUCUUUAAGGUCACACCAAUUUCUUCACUUUCAAAGUCUUCAAAAAGUCUUCAGAAUGUCAAAGUCUUCAGUCGAAGAACUUCAUUUUUAGGGGUCGACUUUCUCUGUAAAUAUCAAACUCCUCAUAGACUUAUAGACCUGUGUACACUCACAAACACAUCAGUUACUUAACCUAUAAGUCUUCAAUACACCAAAAUCACUAAGGGGCACUAGAUGCACUUACAAUCUCCCCCUUUUUGGUGAUUGAUGACAACAUAGGUUAAGUUUUCAACGGGGAUAAACAUAUGGAGUGUAAAUACUGAUAUUGAGGAAUUUGAUUGCAAGAUAUAGAAGAACUCCCCCUGAAUAUGUGCAUAAUGAGGAAUUUGCUUUUGAGGCAAUGCACAUUUGAAGAGUUGAAUCAUGGAGAUCUCCCCCUAUAUCUUGUAAUUCAUACACGCAUUUGAUAUAUAAUAUGAAGAAUUUGAAAUGCAUGAUGAAAUAUGGUGCCUGAUGAGAUUCAGCAUGCGUGCAAUACUAUUGACUAGGAAUAAGCAUGCAGAAUAUCACAUCAAAAGUUUCAGAGCUCAAAUAUCACAUUCAGAGCUUAGUGCUUCAAAAGCAUCAGAGCAUCAACUGUAUCAAAGCACGACCAAAAGUAUCAAGGCACCAUCGGUUUUAAGAUUACAACUCGAUCCAAUAAAAGUUUCGGAAGAACGAGAGUUGUAACUUAAUAAAAACGCCCAUAAUAUAAACCCGCUUGAAGACUAACUCAGAUUUCUCCCCCUUUGUCAUCAAAUGACCAAAAGGAUCGAAACUGAGGACCAACGCCCCUGAAAUUUUUCAAGUUGAUGGAGGAGCGCCAGCAUUGUCGGGGUUAGUUGUUGACGUAGGGCCUGCCGCAGUGUCGUCCAAAUCUUCAUGUUCAUCAGUUUCGUGCAACGAAGAAUAAGAGCUGGCCACCAGAUCGGGAACUUUGACUCUCUUGAAUUUCUUCGGAGGUGGUGCAGACCAGUCAAAAGCAUCCUGGAGACCCAUAGUCUUCAAUUCUUCGGCAGAAUAUACAUGAUUAAGAAUAGCCCGGGUGCGGUUGAGGGUUUCAUGAAGGUAGUACGGAUUUUUCUUCACUGCAUUAUGCGUUGAGGUCAUGUUGUGAAGAAUUGCAGCAAAUUGACGCAUCACCCAUUUCUGAUUGCGUUCAACCUUCUGAUGAAGACUGAGGAGUAACUCACGAUCAGUCAUCACCCUGGGUGCUGUUGCUUGAGGCUUUUGCUUGACUGAGGUAUUCGCGGCAGUGUCAUGUGUUGCAGAAUCGUCAUUGGUGGAGUAAGAUGUAGCUAGACGGAAUUGACCAUCCAAUGGACGAAUGCCUUCAUCAAUCACAGCUGCUGCCUUGCCCUUAUCAUCAGAUGAUGAAACUGGUCGCUUGAGGACUUCAAUGGGCGGCAAGUAGCUGCCAUGGUUCAGAGUGUCAGCCUUGUAGUUUAGUGAAGAUCUUGCCCUUAUGAAUCUCAUAAUCCAAGGCGCAUAUGGCUUCAGCUCAAAAGGUGACAUUGCAACAUUGGCCAGAGUCCUCAUGAAGAAAUCAUGGAAAUUGACAGGAACGCCAUGAAUGAUAUUGAAAAGCAUGUUCUUCAUGAUGCCAACGACAUCUUCUUCGUUUGAGUCGUGGCCUUUGAUGGGACUCAUUGUCUUCGUCAAGAUUCUAUAGACAGUCCGAGGCACAUACAGUAAUUCCUUGACGAGAAAUUUGGUUCGAGGGGCCUGUCCUGGCUUCAAAGGCUUCAUGAGCACUUGCAUAAAGUGAUCAGACAGUUCGCGAUCAUUGUAGAUGCAACGUGUAGAUUCAUGGGGAGGAUCAAGAGGAAGGACACGAAGCAAUUCAGUUGCUGGUGCCUUGUAAUGAGUAUUUUCCGUCAUCCAAUCCAGCACCCAUGAAUUGAUAUCUUCAGCAUCUCCGGUGAUGUGCAGGGUGGCAUAGAACUGAAGAAUGAGUUCUUCAUUCCAGUCAGAGAUAUCAGUGCAAAAAUUCAGCAGCCCUGCAUCAUGAAUGACCCUGAGGACUGGCUCGAAGCAUGGCAGUGAUUCCAUAUCCACAUGAGGAAUAUGCUCAUGGUCGAAGAUCUUGUCCUUGUCAAACAGCACUGAGAAAUAGAAGUUGGCUUGAGUUGGAGUCCAGAAGCGUCUUUUCCUCAUGCGAGCAGAGUCAUAUGGAUUAUAAGCAGUGAAGAACACAUGCUCAGAAAAGAAGUCUUCAGCCUUGAAUUUUUGCUUGCUCGAGAAUGGAUUCUUCGGUUUGGGCAGAGGAAUCUCUGUGAUUUGCAGCACAACCUCAGGAAUCGCAAUCUCAGGUUCUUCAGGCUGAGGAAUUUCUGGUUCCUCUUCUUGUGCAGUUUGGGGAUCAGCAGUGGGUUCUUCAGUGCUAGUGGCUGGAAUUCCCUCAUGAACAGACGAUGUGGGAUGAGUUUCUUGAGAGCCCAAUUGUACAGUUGUAGCCGGGGACUGAGAAACUUGUUGAAUCGGAGUGAAGAGAGGAGUAUUGGGAUGCUGACUUUCCCAAAAGUCAUCGUUCAUCACUGGUGUAGUGCACCCAAUAUCCACGUCUUCAUCUUCAUUUUCAAUUUCCUCAACACCAGCCUCUUCAGCUGUGAACUGAGGCAUGGGUGAGGAAACGACUGGCAGUGAAGGGAAUGCUUCCACUUCAAUUUCUUCAUCAAGCUGUUCUGAGGCAGCAACAGAUUGAUUUUCUUCAUCAGAUCCGCUUGGGAUCGUGUAAUCUUCUCCGUAAGGAACAAUUUCCUUAGACGACAUGGAGGAAAUGGGAAUGGCAUCAAUAGGAUUUUCAAUCGAGCUGGUCAUUGGCUUCAUUUUCUUCGCAGCCAAAGAAUUUGACGCAGCUGAUGCCUUCCUUUUCUUCACUGCAGCUCGUUCUGCAGCCUUUGUCUUCUUCACUUCAUAGGCAAAAGGAAGAAUUGGAGUUGGUGUUGGCGCAGGAGGAGCUGAGGACUGUGGUUCAGUUUCUUCAGGCGCAACUGGUGCAGUUGCCCUGAUCUCUUCAGUUUCUUCAGGCGCACCACUAGUGGAUGCCCUGGGAAUUUCUUCAGCGGCUGGAAUGGAGUCAUCAGCCCUGGAACUUGUAUUUUCAUCAGCAUGCUGAAAGUCAUCAGCAGUGCUGGCAUGUUCUUCAGCAGGCUGAGCAGAGUCUUUAGCCUGAGGAUUUUCUUGUUGCGAUGGAGCUGCAACAGUUGUCAUUUUCUUCGUCAAAUUGACGAAUCUCACCUUGGCUCCUUGCCAAUCAGCAUUGUACGCAUCGAAAUCCUUGCUGAGUGCUUGGAUUUCAGAUUGAGCUUUUAGAAGUUCUUCAGGAGUCAAGUUGACGAUGUUCUUCCUCAGAAGCUUCUCCUUUCUGGCUUGUGUUCUCUUGAUCUCACGAGCCUUUUCAAAUUUCCAUUUCUCUUCAGCAAUGAAAUGGUUCAGCAUAUGACUUUGACCAGGAGUCAGUGGCAGAUCCGGUAUGGGAGUGUUUGGAUCCUGAUGCCAUAGGUCGAUGAAGUCAAGGAUCUUCUUCGGAUCCAGAAGCAGAGGCACAUUUGUUCCUUUGGCUCUAGCGGCCUUGGUCAGUCUGUCUCUGAUGUUUUCUGCAAGUUCUUCAUCAGAAGCUUCAUCAUCAGAGGGCACGUUGAAUGCAACCUGUUUCUUCUUUGGACUUGGCCGAGGACCGCGUCCAGCUGUUGCUUUUGUCUUCAGCAGGGUGGGGCCUGAUGAGGACAUUGGUGCAGCUGAGGAACUUGCUGAGACACCAGAAGCAAUUGAGAAACCUUGAGUCCUUUGACAUGUUGCAAGAUGCACAGGUGUUGAGGACUUGGAGGGAGCUGCUAAGGAUUUGGAGUGAGCAGCAGCAGUCUGAGGAAUUUGCCGUGAGGGCGCGGCUGAGGAACUGGGCCGUGAGGGCGCUGAUGGUGAAGCACUUGGCUUGCGAGCAGGCUUCUUCGGCAUUGAUUUCCUCGGCUUGACCGAGGGCUCAGCGGCAGCAGCAGCAGCAGAAUCCUCAUUGAAUUUCCUCACUGACUCCUUGGCCUGUCUUGCCAGUUUGGCUUGGCGCCUAGACCAUUCUUCAGGAAAGUCUUCACCACGCUUGAUGCUGGUGGGAUCAGCAACUUGGCCAGGUGCCAAAGGAGCUCUUGGGCAUGGAGGAUUUAAGGCGAAUUUCCUCAUGUACUUGGGAGUAACAUAGCGAUAUUCCCUCCAUUCUCGUGCCCAUCUUCUUUCUAUCCUCUGUAUGCGCACUUUGCGCUGAUUUUUAGUCUCCUUGCCAAACUUGGCUUCAUCAGGUGUGCAGUAAUCUUUGUAUAUUUCAUCAGGGAUCUCAAAGGCAGUCAUGACCUCCGGUUUCUUUCCUCCCUUCUGCGGUCUCUUGCCAUCUGCCAUUUUCUUCAGAUGAGGAAUUUGAACUAUAGAGCACUCUGAAGAAGUAUGCAGUUUUUCUUCGAGGAACGCUGCAAAUGAGUUAAGUUGAUGAGAACCUAGUGAUUCAGUAGCAGACAUGAGUACCUGUGAACAGAGUGUAGGUGCGAGGAAUUUGGAGAGGUCAUAUGCGUUCUCAGAAGAUUUUUAAAAGGAACAAGUUUGAGGAAUUUGACCAGUUGAGCCUUGAGGAAUUUCACUAAGCGUUUCGUCUUAGGUUCCAGAGUUGUACAGAUUGAAAAUCCGCACAAUUGAGGAAUCUUGAAGAAAUGAAUGCUUAGAGAGAUAAAUCAAGAGCAUAUAGUGUGUGAGGUGUUCAUAUGUGAAGAUUUGAAGACCAAAAACACCUUUGAAGAUUUUCAGAAAGAUUUGAGAAUCAAAGUGAGUAAUAAAAGUGAUUUUUAAUUACCCGAACUGAAGAACACGACGAACAGGAAUGAACUGUAGUGAAAUUCGUCACGUUAGAUCUCCCACGCCCUAACUUGGCAGAAGGAGACGGCUACGGCGGCGGCGGAGUGAAGAUUUCCGCGGCCGGCGCGAGUACGACGGCGACGAGGUCGAGGCAGUGAAGCUCUUCCUCACCGACGGCGAUGAAGUAGCGGUGGCGCUAGGGUUUGAGGAGAGCUCGAGCGAGAGACAGCGACCGAGCGGAGUAAAUGAAGUAAGGAAGGGAGAGGGGUAUUUAUAGCCACUGUAAAAACUGUUCGCCCGAAGAUUUUGGGACGAACAUGCCCCUGCCCUUUCUCCUUCACGCGACAUGUGUCACCCACGUACUGUGCAGAUGAGAUCGUGUAAGAUCGUGGGUGAUUAAACUAAAGUAUCGUGGGGAGCGGAACGGUUUGAGCGGUAAAACCGAAAAUCUGGAUAAGAUUUGUUUAAAAAUUUCGUUCGCAAUUUCUUCAGCUGUCAAGGACAGAGUGAAGACUUUGAACGAGUUUCAAUCAGAACGCACAUGAAGAAUUUGUGAAUAGAUUGGGUUGAGUAUAGCAUAGAGGGGGAAGGGUCCGAUCACAUUCACUUAGCAGAAAUCACAACUUGAAGAAUUAGCAAUAAGUGAAUGUUGUAGAGGACAUAAACUCACAUAUGUAUACAGCCAAUGAAGAAAACAACGGAGUCAUUGAAGAUUUUGCAAAGUUGAAGAAUUUGAAAAACUGAGGAAUUUCAAAAAUGAGGAAAAACUCAAAUUGAAGAUUUUCAACUUUUGUGGUGGCGUAGCCCACCGUAUAAGAAUGAUGAUUUCAGACACCGCGUACAAUUGUCGUAGGGUUCUGAGAAUCAAAUUCUUCAUUAAUUUCUUCACACUUAGAGUGUUAUUCUUCAUUGAUUGAAGAAAAACAUUUCUUCAUGUGUUGCACAUCUAAGUCAUCAAUUUUGCAUAAGGGUUAGGAUGUGUGUCCUUUUCAAAGAACAUUCAAAGAUUCUAAGAUAUUUAGCUCACACCGCAACUUGCUAAAUCUCUUCUAAUCCAAGGGCUUAGUGAAGAUAUCAGCUAGCUGUUCUUCAGUCUUCACAUGCUCGAUGGAGAUAUCGCCCUUCAACACAUGAUCACGAAGAAAAUGAUGACGAAUCUGGAUGUUCUUAGUCUUCAAGUGCUGAACUGGGUUGUGAGCAAUCUUGAUGGCACUCUCAUUGUCGCAGAGGAGAGGCACAUUCUUCACGUUGACGCCAUAGUCCUUGAGGGUUUGCUUCAUCCAAAGCAGUUGAGCACAGCAUGAGCCAGCAGCAAUGUAUUCAGCUUCAGCAGUAGACAGUGAUACGCAGUUCUGUUUCUUCGAGGAAUAACAGACCAAAGAUCGUCCGAGGAAAUGACAAGUGCUAGAUGUUGACUUGCGGUCCACACGAUCACCAGCAUAGUCAGAGUCAGAAUAUCCAAUGAGAUCAAAAGCAGAGCCCUUGGGGUACCAUAAUCCUAGUGUUGGUGUGUGAGCUAGAUAUCGAAGAAUAUGCUUCACAGCCUUAUGGUGUGAUUCCUUCGGUGCAGCUUGAAAUCGGGCACACAUGCAAACACUAAGCAUUAUAUCUGGCCUAGAUGCACAUAAGUACAAUAAGGAACCAAUCAUGGAGCGGUAUACCUUGUGAUCGAAAUCAAUACCAUUUUCAUCAGUGCAUAGAUGGCCAUUUGUGGGCAUAGGAAUUUUGACGCCUUUGCAAUCUUGCAUGCCGAAUUUCCCCAGUACAUCUUUGAGGUAUUUCUCCUGAGAUAUGAAUAUGCCAUUGUGCUGCUGACGAAUUUGAAGACCUAAGAAGAAUUUCAACUCUCCCAUCAUAGACAUUUGAUAUUCUUCACUCAUCAUAUAGGCAAAUUCAUCACUGUAUCGUUGGUUAGUACAGCCAAAGAUAAUAUCAUCAACAUAUAUUUGGCACACAAACAGUUCACCAUCAUAUGAUUUAGUAAAAAGAGUAGGGUCAAGUGAACCGGGUGUGAAGCCAUUCUUCACGAAGAAUUCCUUCAAUGUGUCAUACCACGCCCGAGGGGCUUGCUUGAGGCCAUAGAGAGCCUUAUUGAGUCUGAAGACUUUGUCAGGAUUCUUGGGAUCUUCAAAACCUGGGGGUUGAGCAACAUAUACUUCUUCCUCAAGCUUACCAUUGAGGAAUGCACUUUUCACAUCCAUUUGAUAUAAGAUGAUAUCAUGAUGGUUAGCAUAAGCAAGUAAAAUGCGAAUAGCCUCAAGUCUAGCAACAGGUGCAAAAGUUUCAUCAAAAUCAAUUCCUUCAACCUGUGUGUAGCCUUGAGCUACUAGUCGUGCCUUAUUCCUCACCACAAGGCCAUUUUCAUCUUGCUUGUUGCGGUAGAUCCACUUUGUGCCAAUGAUAUUAUGCUUGCGAGGAUCUGGGCGAUUGACCAAUUCCCAGACAUUGUUCAACUCGAACUGAUGUAAUUCUUCUUGCAUAGCCUGAAUCCACUCUGGCUCCAGAAAUGCUUCAUCUACCUUAGUGCGCUCUAAGAUAGAAACAAAAGCAUAGUGCCCACAAAAGUUAGAUAAGUGUGAGGCUUUUGAGCGUGUGAGAGGACCUGGUGCGCUAAUGUCAUCGAUGAUCUUCUCCACUUGCCCUUCUUUUGCAACGCGUGGAUGAGUGGGCUGUCGCUGAGGAUUUUGAUCAGCAUUUUCUUCAGCACCAUUUUCCUCAUCAUGUUCUUCAGGUGCAUCAGCUCGAUGUUCUUCACGAACAGGAAUGAAUUCUUCAGCAGAUUCUUCAGUAGGUAUAACAUCCUCAGUUGCCUUGAGCUUGAUAGCCUCCUCAGGUGCUGGUUCAUCUAACACAGAAGGUAGGUGCUCUCUUUGCGAGCCAUUAGUUUCAUCGAACCGCACAUCUACAGUGUUAACAAUCUUGUGAAGAACAAUGUUGAAGACUCUGUAGGUGUGCGAGUCCUUUCCGUAACCAAGCAUAAAACCUUCAUGUGCUUUCGGUGCAAAUUUAGAGUUGUGGUGAGGAUCUCUAAUCCAACAUUUAGCACUGAAGACUUUGAAAUAACUCACAUUGGGUUUCUUGUCAGUGAGGAGUUCAUAGGCAGUCUUCUUGAAGAAUUUGUGAAGAUAUACUCUGUUGAUGACGUGGCAGGCAGUAUCAAUUGCAUCAAUCUAGAAACGCUGAGGCGUUUUGUAUUCAUCAAGCAUAGUGCGAGCCAUCUCAACAAGACUUCUGUUCUUGCGCUCCACGACACCAUUCUGCUGAGGAGUAUAGGGAGCAGAUAAUUCAUGAGUAAUACCAAGUUCAUCAAGAUAGGCAUCAAGACCAGAAUUCUUGAACUCAGUUCCAUUGUCACUUCUGAUAUGCUUGAUCUUCACACCAAAGUUGGUCGAAGCCCUCGAGGAAAAUCUUUUGAAGACUUCCUGCACUUCAUGUUUGUAAGUAACAAUGUGUACCCAUGUAUAUCGAGAAUAAUCAUCAACAAUGACAAAACCAUAUAAAGAUGCAUCAUUAGUGACUGCUGAAUAAUGGUUAGGUCCGAAGAGGUCCAUGUGAAGCAAUUCGAAUGGACGGGUAGUGGUCAUGAUGGUCUUCGCUGGGUGCUUGGCCUUGGUCAUUUUUCCGGCUUCACAUGCUCCGCAUAAGUGAUCCUUGAGGAAUUUGACAUUCUCAAUGCCAAUGACAUGCUUCUUCUUUGCAAGCGUGUUCAAAUUCCUCAUGCCUGCAUGACCAAGUCAUCGAUGCCAUAGCCAGCCUUCUGAAGCUUUUGCUAGUAAACACACGGCUGGUUGUGGUCCUGUAGAGAAAUCAACAAUAUACAGAUCUCCUCUCCUAAAGCCUUCGAAGACUUUGGAAUUGUCAGCUUCCAUAAUCACAACACAGCGAUAUUUGCCAAAGACAACAACCAUAUCAAGAUCACAAAGCAUUGAGACUGACAUGAGAUUGUAUCCUAAGGACUCAACAAGCAUGACUUUGUCCAUGUGCUUAUCCUUAGAGAUAGCAACCUUACCAAGACCCAAUACCUGACUUUUGCCUUUGUCAGCAAAGAUGAUAUGCUUCAGAGGUGAAGGUGAUAAGGGAGCAUCCAUCAAUAGAUUAUUGUCACCAGUCAUGUGAUUUGUACAUCCACUAUCGAGGACCCAUUCAGUGGUUUUGGGUUGAUCAUCCUGCAGAUGAAUUAGUGUAGCUUACAAUCUCAUAUGCUUCAUCAGUGAAGAAUAUGACAUCAAGUUCAUCAGAUGAAUUUCAUCAAGCAGUAAACAGUUAUAGCAGUAUGAGGACGUGUGAAAUGAAGGUUCAUUUCAUCAUGAUUCGCCUGCGUCCUUUCAGGCAAUUUUGUCAGGUCCCCAGCAAAUUCUUCAGACGUUAGAGCACGUCUGGAGACCUGACCCUGCAGAAGAGAUUAGUUCUUUUUCUUCACCACCCACAUCUGAAGGGGUGGCAAAGAGUUCAUCAUCCUGCGAGCACCAUGUGAGAAAGGUGGCAAAGAUGCCAAACCAUUUCGCUUAGCAUGAGAGGGGUUAGGGUAUGCAUAUGAAUAAGCAGAGUAAUUCUUCGAGGACUUAUGAACAUAAUGGUUUGAAGAAUAAUGCACAUAUUCAUAGCCCUUAGCUCUACCCUGCGAGACAGAGUUGUUAGCACGAUGAUAAUCAUAUGAGGACUUUGAUCCAUAUGAAGAGUUUGGUCCAUAUGAAGAAUUUGGUCUGGGGUUCCUGUUCUUCACAGGUGGUGUCAUGAGGACAUUCACCUGAAGACUUUCAACACAGCUUUUGGGAACCCAGAUUUUCUUCAUAGGGGAACUGUUCCUGCAGUUAGUGCCAACAUAUCUAGCAAAUACUUCACCAUUCUGAUUUUUGAACAGUUUAUAGUUGGAGUCAAAUGACUCAUCAGAAGAAUGAGGAGAUUCACAUGUAAAACCAGAUAAGUUAGAUGGAUCAACUGGAGGUCCCUUUGCAGCAACCCAUGAGGUUUUGGGAUACUGCUCAGGCUUCCAAUAUGUUCCAUCGGCAUUGAGUUUCCUCUCAAAGGCAAUACCCUCUUUCCUAGGGUUUUUGUUGAGGAUCUGCUUUUUGAGCACAUCACAAAGUGUCUGAUGCCCUUUGAGGCUUUUGUACAUGCCUGUCAUGUACAAUUCCUUCAGCCCUGCAUUGUCAAUGAUACUAGCAAUGUCCUCAGAUGAGGAAUUAGGGAUAGCAGAGGCAGAUGAAGAAUUUGUAACAGUUGAAGCAUUUGAACAUUCAGGUGAAGAAUUAGCAGAUUCACGUUCAAUGCACUUUAAGCAUGGAGGAACAAAUUCUUCCUGAGAAGUGCUGAUUUGUUGAGCUAGUAAUGAAUCGCGCUCCUUCUGAAGAUCUUCAUAACACACUCUUAGCUUUUCAAGAUCUUCCUUUCUUUGAAUAGCUUCAAGAGAAAGCUUCUCGUGAUCAUGCUUUUCUUGAAGAAAUUCGUAAGAAAGUUUCUCAUGAUCUGACAAGAGAGAGUUAUGAUGACCUUGAAGGUUAUCAUACUUAGACUGAAGUCUCUGAAGAUUUUCAGUCAGGGCUUUAGCGCGAUCCAUUUCUUCACCCAACAUAUCAUCACUUUUAUCUAGCAUGUUUUGAACCUUUUCAAGAGCCCGUUGUUGUUUCACAGCAAUUUUAGCAAGUUUAGAGUAGCUGGGCUUAAGAUCCUCAUCAGAUUCAUUUUCACUAGAAUCAGAGGAGUUGUAUUUGAGUACCUUAGCUCCUUUUGCCAUGAAGCAAUAGGUGGGAGCGUAGCCAUCAUUAACUUCAUCAGUCUUGUCGGUGGAGUCAGUUUCUUCAGUGUUGAAGAUGGACUUGCUGACGAAGGCAGUAGCAACGGCUAGACUCGCCACACCAGACUCAGAUUCUUCAGACUCCUCUUCUUCAUCAUUUUCCUCAGAUUCAGCUUCAGAGUCCAUUUCCUUGCCAAUGAAUGCCCGAGCUUUCUUGGAGCUGCCCUUCUUGUGAGAUGAAGACUUUGAGGGUUUUGAUGAUGAAGAUUUUGACGAUUUCUUCUUCUUCUUCAUAUCAUCAGAACUGUAAUCCUUGUAUUUCUUCUUCUUCAUUUCCUUUUCCCACUGAGGACAAUCUUGAAUAUAGUGACCAGGCUUCUUGCAUUUGUGGCAAAGUCUUCUCUUGUAGUCACUGGAUGAAGAAUCAUUUCCUCUUGAGGGUUUUCCAAAGCGACCACGUCUUGUGAACUUCUGGAAUUUCUUCACAAGCAGAGCUAGAUCCUGGCUCAGUUCUUCAGGAUCACCAAGGCUACUACCAGAAUCCUCACAUUCAGAUUCAGACACAACCUUAGCCUUCAGGGCACAUGGUUUGCCAUAGUUUGAGCCAUAGAGAUCUCUCUUUUCAGCAAGCUGGAACUCGUGAGUGUUAAGCCUUUCGAGGAUAUCAGCAGGAUCAAGUGACUUGUAGUCAGCACGUUCUUGUAUCAUCAGUCCCAGAGUAUCAAAUGAGGAAUCAAGCGAUCUCAGCAGUUUCUUCACAACUUCAUGAUCAGUGAUGUCAGUGGCACCGAGGGCUUGAAGCUCGUUUGAGAUGUUAGUGAGGCGAUCAAAGGUUUGUUGGACAUUUUCGUUGUCGAGUCUUUUGAAGCGGUUGAAGAGAUUCCGAAGAACAUCGACUCGAGAGUCAUGCUGAGUUGAGACUCCUUCAUUUACUUUGGACAGCAUAUCCCAGAUAAGCUUAGCAGUUUCCAAAGCACUCACUCUUCCAUACUUUCCUUUGCUCAGAUGGCCACAGAUGAUAUUCUUCGCUUGGGAAUCGAGUUGUUUGAAUCUCUUCACAUCGGUAGCGGUCAGUGUUUUAGUGACAGAGGGGACACCACUUUCCACAACAUACCAGAGAUCAUUGUCAAUUGCCUCAAGAUGCAUUCGCAUCAUGUUCUUCCAGUAGGGGUAGUCCGUUCCAUCAAAGGUAGGACACCCAGCCGAGACCUUGAUCAUACCUGCGGUCGACAUAACUAAAACUCCAGGCGGUUAAACCAAAAUCACACAGAACAAGGGAGUACCUUGCUCUGAUACCAAUUGAAAGUGCGUUAUAUCGACUAGAGGGGGGGUGAAUAGGCGAUUUUUAUGAAUUCUUCACUGAGGAAUUUGCUGGUGAGGAAAUUCCUUAGCGAAGAACUACUUGCAGCGGAAUAUGUACUCAGAAGUAAACAUAACAGGAUACACACAUAGUCAGCAUGAUGAAAUGAAGACUAAGAACAGAGUACGGAAAGCGUAAACACAGGAUAACAAGAUGAAGACAAACAGACUGAAGAAAUUGAACUGAGGAAUUUGUGAAAGUCUUCAGUCAAAGUCUUCAAGAACAGAUAUGAACAACAUGCAACACAGAAUAAGGAAAUAGAAGAGUUGAGGAAAUAGAACCAGUCAGUUGGUGAAGACAAUGAUUUGGUAAACCAGUUCCAACUGCUGUCUCAGUUGUACGUCUGGUUGGAGCGUCUGAGUAUUUAAACUCGAGGACACACAGUCCCGGACACCCAGUCUCUGAGCCGCAACUCAGGACACCCAGUCCUCACCGUAUUCUCCUUGAACUAAGACCACGCAGGCCUCGUUCAAUCACUCAUGGUAAGUCUUCAGGUGACUUCCAAACCUUCACAGACUUGGUCACUCGGCGAUCCACAAUUCCAUGCUCUAGACCUUGACGCCUAACCGUCUGGAAGAAGCACAGUCUUCAAAGGUAACAAGCGUCGGAUCCACGCAGGAUCAAUUUCUUCAGUGAUGCUCAAUCACUUUGGGUUUGUGGGGGUUUGGUUUUGGGAUUUUCCUCACUUGAUGAUUUUCGCUCAAAGUCCUCGGAGGAUGGGUUGCUCUCAAAUGACAAGUGUCAAGUUCUCUCGGAGCAGCCAACCAACUAGUGGUUGUAGGGGGCGGCUAUAUAUAGCCUAGGGAGCAGCCCGACAUGAUAAGACAUAAAUGCCCUUCAAUGAUAUGACCGUUAGGUGGAUAAGAUAUUUUGGGAUAGCCGGCGCGCAGCACAGCAACGGUCGGAAAUUUGACUCUCAAAUUCCUCAGGGCUAUCAUGUUCCUCACUGUGUAGGCAAUUCGCACUGGCGAAUUCCUAACUCCUCAGUCAGAGCAAAGUCCUCAGUGAACAGAAGAACUGCGUCUCUGUCACUGAUGAAUUUGACUGAACUGUAUGAGAUUUCCAAUGGCUUCACUCGAAGGGAUUGGUAGGUGUAGGAUUUUGAGUUGAGCAUCACAUGGAAAUUUUUCCUUAGUAUUUCCUCGACCCCCUUUAACAGUACGGUGUUUCCUAUGACUCAAGAAAGAGAAAAUGAAACUACGAAAACAAAAGUCUUCACGCUUCAUAUUCCUCGAAUGAUUAUCAAGUCUUCAAGGUCACACCAAUUUCUUCACUUUCAAAGUCUUCAGAAAGUCUUCAAAAUGUCAAAGUCUUCAGUCGAAGAACUUCAUUUUUAGGGGUCGAUUUUCUUUGUAAAUAUCAAACUCCUCAUAGACUUAUAGACCUGUGUACACUCACAAACACAUCAGUUACUUAACCUAUAAGUCUUCAAUACACCAAAAUCACUAAGGGGCACUAGAUGCACUUACAUUCUU
rnacentral:lncRNA from 1 species